UCAAUAUAUAUGUGCCAUAUAUUGUUGUUUUUUCUAUUUUCAAAAUCAUAACCAAAACUCUGGGUUUGAACAUGUGAAGGAACAAAUCAUGGAUGCAAUGACGGAAUAUAAAAUAGGAGAGAACAUGAUAGAAAAUUUUGAUGAUGAUGAUGAAUAUUAUUGGAAUAACCGAUAUGAAAGCGAAAGUGAACAUUUGGUAAUGGUUGGACAACAUGGAAUAUUUAAUAUUCCUUAUUGUACUACAUGCUCUACGUACUUAGAAGUUGCUGCGAAAGGAAAAUCAAGAACUUUCAAUAUCUUUGAUCCUAACUCCUAAGUUUAGGUUGGCAUAAGUUUCUUCUGAGUCUAGGGAGGUUGGUGCUGGAGAUUCAAUUGAUUGUCCCAAAAGAAUUGCUCUUAAUUACUUUAAGGGUUAUUUUUUCUUGGACUUAUUUGUUGUAUUACCUCUUCCUCAGAUAAUGAUAAUGUUUGUCCUACGAGCUUCCUUGGGGUCACAAGAUGAAAAGUAUAUUACUAAUUUUCUAUACCUAGCAAUCCUUGUACAACAUAUUCAUAAAUUAUGUUUGUCCUACCAGCUUUCUUGGGGUCACAAGAUGAAAAGUAUAUUACAAAUUUUCUAUACCUAGCAAUCCUUGUACAACAUAUUCAUAAAUUGUUCAAAUUUUUGCCUCUGCUACCAAAAUCAUAUUUGACUUAGCCUUGGAAUUUUUUUUUAUAAACAUUCUCUUUCAUUUUCUACGUGACCAUUUGUGGAUUCUAACUUGGGAAGGAACAUAUGUAUGAUGAAUGUGUCUUUUCUUAAAGCAUAUAAUGCAAUUCAUGUUAUGUUCAUGGGUGCUGUUAAUUUCCCACAACCAAUCGACUAUUUGUAAAAACCUAAUUGAGUGUAUAUAUAAUGUAAAAAUAAUUCAAGAAGUAAAACUUUUAAAUAAUACAAGACAAUGACACUUAAAAGAAUGCAUUGAUCAAAAACUAUUUUUUAUUGAAGCUUCCUUUCUAUCCCCUAUCUUUCACAUACAAAAGAAAAAGACAAAUCGACUUUUUAACAACA